AUGAGUUCACAUGCGUACAAUUUAGGACAAAAAUUAUUGGUGCACAAGGUGGCCACCAUCGUCGCUGUUUGCAUUGUGCUCGUCCUCAACAUGUGUCACCCGGCGGCAGCCACAGAAUGUGAAGAUUGUCUGGGCGCCUGUGUUGCAAUUUGCAUCGCCUACACUGAAACGACGUGCAGCGGCAUCUGCACCGUCAUAACUUUUGCAUGCCAGGAAUGUAAGGACGCAGCCUUAAUUGAGUGUGGUGCAACAUGCUACGGCGGUUGUACCCUCUUCUGCUAA
rnacentral:rRNA from 1 species